GACGAACGCUGGCGGCGUGCUUAACACAUGCAAGUCGAACGGAAAGGCCCCCACCUUGGUGGGGGUGCUCGAGUGGCGAACGGGUGAGUAACACGUGUGUGAUCUGCCCUGUACUUCGGGAUAAGCUUGGGAAACUGGGUCUAAUACCGGAUAGGACCAUGGUUUAGUGUCUCAUGGUGGAAAAAUUAUUGUUUUGGUGCAGGAUGAGCUCGCGGCCUAUCAGCUUGUUGGUGGGGUAAUGGCCUACCAAGGCGUCGACGGGUAGCCGGCCUGAGAGGGUGGACGGCCACAUUGGGACUGAGAUACGGCGCAGACUCCUACGGGCGGCAGCAGUGGGGAAUAUUGCACAAUGGGAGCAAGCCUGAUGCAGCGACGCCGCGUGGCGGAUGACGGCCUUCGGGUUGUAAACUCCUUUCGUUAGGGACGAAGCCACACCUUUUUUGGGUGUGGUGACGGUACCUUUGUUAAGAAGCACCGGCUAACUACGUG
rnacentral:rRNA from 1 species